rnacentral:rRNA from 1 species
CCUACGGUCGGCAGCAGUGAGGAAUAUUGGUCAAUGGGCGCGAGCCUGAACCAGCCAAGUAGCGUGAAGGAUGACUGCCCUACGGGUUGUAAACUUCUUUUAUAAAGGAAUAAAGUGAGGCACGUGUGCCUUUUUGUAUGUACUUUAUGAAUAAGGAUCGGCUAACUCCGUGCCAGCAGCCGCGGUAAUACGGAGGAUCCGAGCGUUAUCCGGAUUUAUUGGGUUUAAAGGGAGCUGAGGUGGGUUGAUAAGUUAGUUGUUAAAGUUUGAGGCUCAAACGUAAAAUUGCCAUUGAUACUGGCGGUGUUGAGUACAGUUGAGGUAGGCGGAAUUCGUGGUGUAGCGGUGAAAUGCUUAGAUAUCACGAAGAACUCCGAUUGCGAAGGCAGCUUACUAAACUGCCACUGACAUUGAUGCACGAAAGUGUGGGUAUCAAACAGGAUUAGAUACCCGAGUAGUC